rnacentral:misc_RNA from 1 species
UACAGAGGGUGCAAGCGUUGUUCGGAAUUAUUGGGCGUAAAGCGCGUGUAGGCGGCCUAGCAAGUUGGGUGUGAAAGCCCUCGGCUUAACCGAGGAAGUGCGCCCAAAACUACUGGGCUCGAGUACCGGAGAGGAUGGUGGAAUUCCUGGUGUAGAGGUGAAAUUCGUAGAUAUCAGGAGGAACAUCGGUGGCGAAGGCGGCCAUCUGGACGGAUACUGACGCUGAGACGCGAAAGCGUGGGGAGCAAACAGG